rnacentral:rRNA from 1 species
GACUCUCAGCAACGGAUAUCUCGGCUCUCGCAUCGAUGAAGAACAUAGCGAAAUGCGAUAUCUGAUGUGAUUUGAUGAGUUGCCUAUAUAUUAGAGUAGUACAUAUUAUGUUUUUUUUUUCGAAGAGGAAUAAAACAUGUUUUUUUUCCGAAGAGGAG